CAUACCAAUAAUGGGGAAAAGGAAGCAAGAUUGCAAAAGUAGAAGGGAAACAGGAACCGGGUUAGCCAAACCCCAACAAUAACUUGCCACAGCACAAGGAAGCGUAUUAAAUUGAUGAACUAUAAUAACUAUUACUCAUAUACUAGUCAGCAAUCAAUGAACAGAAAUCAUGUGAAAUGUCCAAUAAAUACUGUUAACACAUAGUCCGUUUCUACUCAUUCA